UACGUAGGGUGCAAGCGUUAAUCGGAAUUACUGGGCGUAAAGCGUGCGCAGGCGGUUGUGCAAGACCGAUGUGAAAUCCCCGGGCUUAACCUGGGAAUGGCAUUGGUGACUGCACGGCUAGAGUGUGUCAGAGGGGGGUAGAAUUCCACGUGUAGCAGUGAAAUGCGUAGAGAUGUGGAGGAAUACCGAUGGCGAAGGCAGCCCCCUGGGAUAACACUGACGCUCAUGCACGAAAGCGUAGGGAGCAAACAGG
rnacentral:rRNA from 1 species